rnacentral:rRNA from 1 species
UACAGAGGUCUCAAGCGUUUGUUCGGAUUCAUUGGGCGUAAAGGGUGCGUAGGCGGCGCGGUAAGUCGGAUGUGAAAAUCUCGGAGCUUAACUUCGAAACUGCAUUCGAUACUGCCGUGCUUGAGGACUGGAGAGGAGACUGGAAUUUACGGUGUAGCGGUGAAAUGCGUAGAUAUCGUAAGGAAGACCAGUGGCGAAGGCGGGUCUCUGGACAGUUCCUGACGCUGAGGCACGAAGGUCAGGGGAGCAAACGGG